rnacentral:rRNA from 1 species
ACACUCUUACGGGAGGCAGCAGUGGGGAAUUUUGGACAAUGGGCGAAAGCCUGAUCCAGCAAUGCCGCGUGAGUGAAGAAGGCCUUCGGGUUGUAAAGCUCUUUUGUCAGGGAAGAAACGGUGAGAGCUAAUAUCUCUUGCUAAUGACGGUACCUGAAGAAUAAGCACCGGCUAACUACGUGCCAGCAGCCGCGGUAAUACGUAGGGUGCAAGCGUUAAUCGGAAUUACUGGGCGUAAAGCGUGCGCAGGCGGUUUUGUAAGUCUGAUGUGAAAUCCCCGGGCUCAACCUGGGAAUUGCAUUGGAGACUGCAAGGCUAGAAUCUGGCAGAGGGGGGUAGAAUUCCACGUGUAGCAGUGAAAUGCGUAGAUAUGUGGAGGAACACCGAUGGCGAAGGCAGCCCCCUGGGUCAAGAUUGACGCUCAUGCACGAAAGCGUGGGGAGCAAACAGGAUUAGAAACCCGAGUAGUCCCAUGA